GGACCAUUGGCGCAAUGGUAGCGUGUUCGAUUCCAGUCCGAAAGGUAGAGCCUAAAACCCAUUCCAAAUUCACUUCGCAAAAUACUGAGAUCCCAUUGUGAAGGUUGUCUGUUCGAGUCAGACAUGGUUCA